UGGGGAAUAUUGCACAAUGGGCGCAAGCCUGAUGCAGCCAUGCCGCAUGUAUGAAGAAGGCCUUCGGGUUGUAAAGUACUUUCAGCGGGGAGGAAGGCGAUAAGGUUAAUAACCUUGUCGAUUGACGUUACCCGCAGAAGAAGCACCGGCUAACUCCGUGCCAGCAGCCGCGGUAAUACGGAGGGUGCAAGCGUUAAUCGGAAUUACUGGGCGUAAAGCGCACGCAGGCGGUUUGUCAAGUCGGAUGUGAAAUCCCCGGGCUCAACCUGGGAACUGCAUUCGAAACUGGCAGGCUAGAGUCUUGUAGAGGGGGGUAGAAUUCCAGGUGUAGCGGUGAAAUGCGUAGAGAUCUGGAGGAAUACCGGUGGCGAAGGCGGCCCCCUGGACAAAGACUGACGCUCAGGUGCGAAAGCGUGGGGAGCAAACA
rnacentral:rRNA from 1 species